UUGACGGGGCCCGCACAAGCGGUGGAGCAUGUGGUUUAAUUCGACGCAACGCGAAGAACCUUACCUGGGCUUGACAUCCCGAUCGCACCUUAUGGAAACAUAGGGGUCAGUUCGGCUGGAUCGGUGACAGGUGCUGCAUGGCUGUCGUCAGCUCGUGUCGUGAGAUGUUGGGUUAAGUCCCGCAACGAGCGCAACCCUUGUCCUUAGUUGCCAGCAUUCAGUUGGGCACUCUAAGGAGACUGCCGGUGUCGAACCGGAGGAAGGUGGGGAUGACGUCAAGUCCUCAUGGCCCUUAUGUCCAGGGCUACACACGUGCUACAAUGGCCGGUACAAAGGGGCGCAAGACCGCGAGGUGGAGCAAAUCCCAAAAAACCGGUCUCAGUUCGGAUUGGAGUCUGCAACUCGACUCCAUGAAGUUGGAAUCGUUAGUAAUCGCGUAUCAGCAUGACGCGGUGAAUACGUUCCCGGGCCUU
rnacentral:rRNA from 1 species